UUGUAUAAGCCUGGGAAUGUGCGAGGCCUUGGGAGCUCCAGCAGUGCUGGGCAGAGCUGUCAGCGGUUCUGCCUCCGCUCUAGUGACGUGGCUCUUUCUGAAAGAGGAGAAUUAAUUUCUAAGUUGACCACAAUUGAGGARGGACAGGAGACCCUCAAUGUGAACUGGCAAAGAACUCAGUAGAUCAGAACACAGACACCCUUGCCAUGAGAAAAUCCGAGAUCCAGGAAAGCACAGGGAAAAUGUGUUCCAGAGCCUUUUGAACCAGGUGCUGAGUGAGUCGCUUAAACCAGCGCCUCCUGCGUCCCAUUUCUGGCGCUGCGACCUUGCGCAUUUGGGCAAGUGUGAAAGCCAAAGGAACACGGAGUUUAUGAAUGCUGGAAAAAAUUGGAGGGGAGAAAGAAAUCAAGUCAUGAAUUUUGCACCUACAUC